rnacentral:lncRNA from 1 species
CACAUUUGUACCAUCUUCUUUUUUAUUUAUUAGACACCAUGAACCAAUUUUUGAAAAAUCGUCGUCAUAGAGACUUUUCUCGACCUUCUCUACAAAACCCACAUUAUAAAAAUGAAGAUUGAAAUACUUUUUCCNNNNNNNNNNNNNNNNNNNNNNNNNNNNNNNNNNNNNNNNUGAAACAAUCGUACCGGAAAUACUGUGCGACUUCGUCAUCUCCAUUCUUUAUGUACAUGCAAGAACAACAACAAAUUAAUUAAGACAUGAAAAGAAGGAAUAAAACCAUAUAUGCUUUGAAUCGGUUUGUUUUUAUUUAAUCUAAGUAGAGUGGUUUGAAUCAGUUUAUUUUGUUGUUUAUAUCUUGUUUUUAUUUUUUCUCUGAUUCUUUUUUCUUUAUAUUAAUUUUUUCGAUUCUCUUUCUAAUUAUCAUUUUUUUAGGCAUCUUUCUUUCUUUCUUUUUUUCUAAUUAUCAUGUUAUAUAGACCGAAGUUUUAUUUAAAAAAGUUUCUUGUUUUGAGAUAAUUUAUUUUCUUUCUUGAUCUAAUGUUUUAUACUGUAUUUCCAUAUUCUUUGUUAUGUGUUUUAUUUUUUAUUUAGAAAUUGAGAUGAAAAAAAGUUAAUUCAUUUCCUUUCUAAUAUAAAUUUUUUUUAUACGGUAAAAAGUUAAAAUAUAAAAAUCUUUUUGAGGCGAAACGAUUAAACUGAUGAAUGGCCACCAAAUAAAGUUUAAUGUGAAAGUUGGAGUUUGAAAGACAAAAAUGUCAAUACUCUCUUUUAUUUUGAUUUUUGUUUUUUUCGUCCCUGUCACUUUUUUUAAGCUCAUUCCUUGAGAGUCAUAAAAUAAACAGUAUUAUUAACAUCUACCCAGAUAUUUGUUGUGUUGAGCAUUAAAUUUUGCUGCAAAUAGAAAAAACUGAUUUGUUAUAUAAUGAAGUUGAAGAUUAUAAAGAUAUGAUAGCAAUAAAGAAUAAAGCGGAAGAAUGAAUUUCACUAACAUGAAAAGAUGCAACUGAAGCAAACUGGUUUGUAGGCAUUCUUUCCAUUCAUUCUAGGAUGAAACACAACAAAAAGUUAAUAGUGAAAAAAUGCAUAAAAAACAAAUAAGCAGUAGUGUGUGAUUUCUACCUUUUAGUUUAUAGUUGUUGAAGUAGUCUCCUAAUUAUUUAUGCAUCAUUGUAGUUACUUAUGUACAAAUUUAUGUUUGUUGAGUAUUUCUUAUACUAUGAGAUCAUUUUCUAAUAAAUUCGGUUGCCUUACAAAAAAAAAAAUAAUGAUAUGAAGGACAUAAAAAAUAAAGGAGAUAUAUGAACAUGAAAAAU